rnacentral:tRNA from 1 species
AGUCUUAUAUUCAAUUAUGAUUUUAAAUUGCAAAUUUAAAGGUGAAAUUUUCUAAGGCUU